CUGGUAUCUGCAAAACCUGGACAGAUUUUCAUGCUGCCAUAUAACUCAGAUAAACAUUGGGUGCUGACUGUUGUGGAUCCUGAACAAGAAAUUGUUUAUUUUAUGGAUCCCAUGAAGAGGCGGUUUACCCACCGGAGAAUGGGUUUCCAUUGUUGAUAGUGCAAUAUCUAUGUAUAAUGCACACAAGGGUAGGAAAGGCCGAAGUUCACCUAUAUGGAAAAAUUUGUCGGGUAUUCCUCCUCAACUAAACAACAAGGAGUGCGG